UGACGCAGAGUGCAGAGGUCAGGGGUAUGACGCAGAGUGCAGACCUCAGGGUGUGACGCACAGUGCAGAGGUCAGGGUGUGAUGCAGAGUGCAGAGGUCAGGGUGU